UAAUUCAUUAGUGCAUUUUAUACUCAUGUAGCUAACACCACAACAAAUACGAGCAAAGGCAACAUUUGGUUUGCCACGAAUGAAAUAUGUGUGGGAGCUUUUACUAUUUGAGUGGAAUAAGUUGGUAUCAAGUAUUGUAGUGCUCCCACUCCCAAGUCCCAAGUCCCAAGUCCCAAGUCCCAAGUCCCUUGUUCUAAAAAUUCGGUGGUUUGGCUAUUUCUAGAUCUUCAAUGGUUUUGCUAUCUUCAGAUCUUCAUCCCCUUUUAAGACUUUGCACAAUAAGAGCAGUAACAGGUGGUGAUAAGGUCUUUGUGCACGACGAGAAAUCGCAAUCCAAGACACUGAAGGUAGUAGUUGGAAUUGAUGGGGUGGGUCACUGGCAAAGGAGCUUCCAAAUUGAAGUAACAGGAAAUGAUGUUCAUGUAGUUUUGCUCAUAACUCUUCUCAGAAAAAAGCAUCAAGCAUGCUGCAAUCGUCAAUGUGAACCCUGUCAGAGAGGAGGAGGAGAAGGAGCCUAAAGUUGAGGAAAUCAUCAUAGGAUGGUCUCAGACUUGGCAUUGAGACACAAAAGCUUAGAUGGAUUCGCAGUAAUCAAGAUACCCUGCGACGUGAACUUUAUAAUGGACUCCAAGACUCGCUAAAUGCCGGUGAAAACAAUGCAGGUAACACUGGUCGCAGAACUAUUUUACCUUCCUCAUUUAUCGGUAGUCCACGUGAUAUGCACCAGAGAUACCAAGAUGCAAUGGCUUUGGUCCAAAAAUACGGGAAGCCAGAUAUUUUCCUCACAAUGACAUGCAACCCGAAUUGGAAAGAAAUAAAGGCAGAGUUAUUACCUGGAUUUUUCUCACAAGAUCGCCCUGAUUUAUGUACCCGGAUUUUUCGUGCCAAAUUUGAAGAGCUGAAGGAAGAUGUUAUCAAAAAAGGGGUCUUAGGUACUAUUGUUGCACAUGUUUAUGUCAUCGAAUUUCAAAAACGUGGUCUCCCACAUGUUCAUAUGCUUCUCAUGUUAAAUGACGAUAAUAAGUUGAAUAACCCGGAUGAUUAUGACAAAAUUGUUCGAGCUGAAAUACCAAGUCAAGAUGAAGAACCGGAGUUGUACAAUGCCGGAUUGAGGCACAUGAUACAUGGUCCAUGUGGAGCACAUAAGCGUAAUGCCCCAUGUAUGAAGCGUGGGAGUUGUAAACGAGGUUAUCCUAAGCCCUUUUCAGCCAACAAAUAUCAAGGGAAUGACUCUUAUCCCAUUUACCGUAGGCGAGAUGUUCACCCAAAUGUAGAAUCUGAUUUCAAUCAAAAUAUGAUUGUCAUAUCAAUGUCGAAGUCUGUUGCAGCAUUAAGAGUGUUAAGUAUUUGUACAAAUAUGUCUACAAAGGUCCAGAUAGAGUAACAUUUGAAGUUCGACCCGAAGCUAAUGAAGAUGAAAUAAGGAAUUUUGUUGAUGCAAGAUGGG